AAGGCAAAACAAGCGAUGUGGAGGCAAACCCCUAAAAACCGUUACUCNGUUCAGAUUGCAGGCUGCAACCCGCCCUGCAUGAAGUCGGAAUUGCUAGUAAUCGCGGAUCAGCAUGCCGCGGUGAAUACGUUCCCGGGCCUUGUACACACCGCCCGUCACACCAUGGGAGCCGGUAAUACCCGAAGUCAGUAGUCCAACCUCGUGAGGACGCUGCCGAAGGUAGGAUUGGCGACUGGGGUGAAGUCGUAACAAGGUAAC
rnacentral:rRNA from 1 species